UAAGGCACCCAGGACUUGGCGA
rnacentral:miRNA from 1 species